rnacentral:rRNA from 1 species
UACGAGGGGGGCAAAUGUUGUUCGGAAUCACUGGGCGUAAAGGGAGCGUAGGCGGGCUUCUAAGUUAGAUGUUUAAUCCCGGGGCCCAACCCCGGACAGGCACCUAAAACUGGAAGUCUUGAAUAGUGGAGAGGACGGCGGAAUUGGGGGUGUAGCGGUGGAAUGCGUAGAGAUCCCCAAGAACACCAGUUGCGAAGGCGGCCGUCUGGACACAUAUUGACGCUGAGGCUCGAAAGCAUGGGGAGCAAACAGG